UACGUAGGCAGCAAACGUUGUUCGGAGUUACUGGGCGUAAAGGGCGCGUAGGCGGCCGCCUAAGUCAGACGUGAAAUCCCUCGGCUCAACCGGGGAACUGCGUCUGAUACUGGGUGGCUUGAAUCCGGGAGAGGGAUGCGGAAUUCCAGGUGUAGCGGUGAAAUGCGUAGAUAUCUGGAGGAACACCGGUGGCGAAGGCGGCAUCCUGGACCGGCAUUGACGCUGAGGCGCGAAAGCCAGGGGAGCAAACGGG
rnacentral:rRNA from 1 species